GGGGCUGAUUUGGCUUUCGACAGGAAUUGUAUCGCUUGGAUUGCAUGUCGGUAGGCAUACCGUAAUCCUGCCAGCUUAAAUUAAACGCAAACAACAAAAAUUACGCUCCAGCUUACGCAAAAGUAGCGUAGGUUUAUCUCUGUUUUGGAGCCGAUCUUUUUGCCAUAUCUACUAACAAAAAAGGUCGUUAUUUCGUAGGUUGCGCUUUUUUGUGUCAUCAAAAAAGCAAAGAUAAGACUGCUUGCCUGCAAAAGAUUUUGAAAGUUGAAUCUAGCGGGCAAAAAGAUUAUUCAACUUUGCUAAGCAUGUAGAGAUCCUUGUAGAUAUAAUUUUUGGACUGGGGUUCGAUCCCCCACAGCUCCACCA
rfam:Helicobacter mustelae 12198 complete genome